AGGGAAUAUUGCACAAUGGAGGAAACUCUGAUGCAGCGACGCCGCGUGAGUGAUGAAGGCCCUCGGGUCGUAAAGCUCUGUUCUCAGGGACUAAGAAAGUGAAUGUACCUGAGAAGAAAGGACCGGCUAACUUCGUGCCAGCAGCCGCGGUAAGACGAGGGGUCCUAGCGUUGUUCGGAAUUAUUGGGCGUAAAGCGGGUGUAGGUGGCAUGGUAAGUCAGAUGUGAAAGCCCUGGGCUCAACCCAGGAAGCGCAUUUGAAACUGCUUUGCUUGAGUGUGGCAGAGGAUAGUGGAAUUCCUGGUGUAGUGGUGAAAUACGUAGAUAUCAGGAGGAACAUCGGUGGGGAAGCCGGCUAUCUGGGCCAACACUGACACUCAGACCCGAAAGCGUGGGGAUCAAAC
rnacentral:rRNA from 1 species